CACUCCACUAUUGUCGGGCAGCCCAAUAUUUGUGAGCUGUGACAACACAGGAAAUGAUGCUUGCCCUCUAGAAAGUGGCGGUGGUCCUGUGACUGAGGGAACAGAACAAGUGCCAACCAGGGACACGACUAUUCAACAAGGAGAGGAAAAUGAAGGUGGUGGUCAAUUUCAGGUGCCUAAAAAGAAUAAAACCUCGGAGGCAUGAGAAGACUUCGAUGCAUUUGAUAAAAAUGGCUAGCAUUUUGCCAUUUGUAAACAUUGUGGGAAAAAGCUAUCUUGGGGUAAAACUAAGCAAACCAGCAGUAUGUGAGGCAUCGAGAUAAUUGUCUGGUUAGAAAAACCAAGAUUAGAAAGGCCGAGCAGCAAACAAAACUCAACUUUCAGUGGGCGGAUGACCAUUUUCCAACUGUACCAGCAUUGCACACGGGCAACUUUGAUAUAGAAAACAAUGAGGGAGGCUGCUGCACACUGGAUCUUGAUGCACGAGCAUCCCUUCACAAUCUUGGAGGAAGAGGUAUUCAACCUCAUGAUGAAACAUGGCUUUCCGGAGUGCUAAAAGAUCUCUCGGGGGACAGCUAAAAUGAUCAUACACAAGUGUAUGAACUGGAAAAGAAGAAAUUGAAGAACAUGUGCAGAAAGCAAGCCUGACAACUGAUAUGUGGAAAUAAAAAAACCAGAAGAUUGAAUACAUAGUUGUGACGGGCCAUUGGAUUGAUGCCCAUUAGAAACUUCAGAAGCGGGUAUUAGAUUUGGUUCACAUCCCACCACCUAGACAUGGAGUUGAGAUCUCGGCUGCAGUCUUCAAGUGUGCAAAUGAGUGGGGUAUUGGGCAAAAGAUUCACACAAUUUUAGUGGACAAUGCCUCAAAUAAUGAUGUGCCCAUUCGCCUUCUGAAUGAUGACUUUGGUAGAACAAAGAAGCUAUUGGGUGGAGGCCAAUUGCCAGUCCCCUCUAUGAGUUGUGUCCAUCUUCUGAAGAUUGGGAGAAAGUUGAAAAGGUGUGCUGCAUUUUGGAGAAGUUUUGGACAGCCACACACAUAAUUUCAGGGAGUGAAUAUCCAACCAGCAACUUGUUCUUGGCGGAAUUUCUGAAGGCGAAGAAAUUGUUGGAUGCAUGAAUAAAUGAUGAAGAUUUCAUCCGGGGAAUGAUUGCAAGAAUGAAGCUCAAGUUUGAUAAAUACUUGAUUGAAUGCAAUCUGUUGAUGUCCAUUGCUGCUAUCUUGGAUCCCAUGCAGAGAAUGUGAUCAAUGGAGUUUGCCUUCCCCAAGAUGUACCCGGCUUAUGAAGCACAAGAGAAAAUUAAGAAAGUCCAGAAAGCCAUCUUUGACCUUUUUGAAGAGUAUCGUGAAAUGGCUGCCAUUGCAAGUGCUACAGCAAGUAGUGGAUCAGUUGCUUCAUCUUCUAGCCAGGGUCCACUUUGGCCAUGGGGAGAUUCUUAUUGGGAUGAUUUAGAUGAGUAUUGUGUCGAUAUUGAGACCAAUAUCUGGAUAAGCCUCCGAAUUGCUAGAUUAUCUGGAUAAGCCUCGGCAGCCACUUGGUGGAAAUCCAAUGGAUUUCGACUGCUUGGAUUGGUGGAGGGUCAACCGGAUUGCAUACUUGGCAUUAUCUCAGAUGGCCUCUGAUAUAUUGGUCAUUCCUAUCACUACUGUAGCAUUUGAGGCCACCUUCAAUUCUGGGACUAGGGUGAUUGAUUCCUACUGAGCUUCACUUGAUCUUGAGAUAGUUCAGAUGUUAAUGUGUGCGGGUGACUGGUGUAGAAAUUUACACGGAGUCAAAAAGAAAGUGAAAGAAACAACAACUGUCAAAGAAUAUGAGCUGCCAAAAGUAUGAACUUCGAAACGACAUAGAAUCAGGGGGCGAAAUUUUGGGAGCGUGAAUUUUGGGGAAAGAGUUGAGCUAGUUAUAGUUUGUUUUUGUUUAAACUCCUCUGUAUUAGUAAACUUCACAUGUAUUUGUAUAAGUUUGGAUAUUCUGACUUGUACUUUAAGUUGA